UACGUAGGGUCCGAGCGUUGUCCGGAAUUAUUGGGCGUAAAGAGCUCGUAGGCGGUUUGUCGCGUCUGCUGUGAAAUCCCGAGGCUCAACCUCGGGCCUGCAGUGGGUACGGGCAGACUGGAGUGCGGUAGGGGAGAAUGGAAUUCCUGGUGUAGCGGUGAAAUGCGCAGAUAUCAGGAGGAACACCGGUGGCGAAGGCGGAUCUCUGGGCCGUAACUGACGCUGAGACGCGAAAGCGUGGGGAGCGAACAGG
rnacentral:rRNA from 1 species